CGUAGGGUGCGAGCGUUGCCCGGAUUUAUUGGGCGUAAAGGGCGCGUAGGCGACUCGGCACGUCCGUUGUGAAAUCGCCCGGCUCAACUGGGCGGGGUCGGCGGAUACGGCCGAGCUGGAGCAAGCUAGGGGGUAAUGGAAUUCCCGGUGUAGUGGUGGAAUGCGUAGAUAUCGGGAGGAACACCAGUGGCGAAGGCGGUUACCUGGAGCUUUGCUGACGCUGAUGCGCGAAAGCGUGGGGAGCGAUCCGGAUUAGAUACCCGGGUAGUCCACGCCGUAAACGAUGCGGACUAGGUGUCGGGGGUAUCGACCCCCUCGGCGCCGCAGCUAACGCAUUAAGUCCGCCGCCUGGGGACUACGGCCGCAAGGCUA
rnacentral:rRNA from 1 species